rnacentral:rRNA from 1 species
UGCAAGUCGACGAUGAACCACUUCGGUGGGGAUUAGUGGCGAACGGGUGAGUAACACGUGGGCAAUCUGCCCUGCACUCUGGGACAAGCCCUGGAAACGGGGUCUAAUACCGGAUACUGAUCCUCGCAGGCAUCUGCGAGGUUCGAAAGCUCCGGCGGUGCAGGAUGAGCCCGCGGCCUAUCAGCUAGUUGGUGAGGUAACGGCUCACCAAGGCGACGACGGGUAGCCGGCCUGAGAGGGCGACCGGCCACACUGGGACUGAGACACGGCCCAGACUCCUACGGGAGGCAGCAGUGGGGAAUAUUGCACAAUGGGCGAAAGCCUGAUGCAGCGACGCCGCGUGAGGGAUGACGGCCUUCGGGUUGUAAACCUCUUUCAGCAGGGAAGAAGCGAAAGUGACGGUACCUGCAGAAGAAGCGCCGGCUAACUACGUGCCAGCAGCCGCGGUAAUACGUAGGGCGCAAGCGUUGUCCGGAAUUAUUGGGCGUAAAGAGCUCGUAGGCGGCUUGUCACGUCGGUUGUGAAAGCCCGGGGCUUAACCCCGGGUCUGCAGUCGAUACGGGCAGGCUAGAGUUCGGUAGGGGAGAUCGGAAUUCCUGGUGUAGCGGUGAAAUGCGCAGAUAUCAGGAGGAACACCGGUGGCGAAGGCGGAUCUCUGGGCCGAUACUGACGCUGAGGAGCGAAAGCGUGGGGAGCGAACAGGAUUAGAUACCCUGGUAGUCCACGCCGUAAACGGUGGGCACUAGGUGUGGGCAACAUUCCACGUUGUCCGUGCCGCAGCUAACGCAUUAAGU